rnacentral:tRNA from 1 species
GCCGGGAUAGCUCAGUUGGUAGAGCAGGGGAUUGAAAAUCCUCGUGUCACCAGUC